rnacentral:rRNA from 1 species
UCGGGAAUUUUGGGCAAUGGGCGAAAGCCUGACCCAGCAACGCCGCGUGAAGGAUGAAGUAUUUCGGUAUGUAAACUUCGUAAGAAUAGGAAGAAUAAAUGACGGUACUAUUUGUAAGGUCCGGCUAACUACGUGCCAGCAGCCGCGGUAAUACGUAGGGACCAAGCGUUGUUCGGAUUUACUGGGCGUAAAGGGCGCGUAGGCGGCAAUUCAAGUCAUCUGUGAAAUCUCCGGGCUUAACUCGGAACGGUCAGAUGAUACUGCUUUGCUAGAGUGCAGAAGGGGCAAUCGGAAUUCUUGGUGUAGCGGUGAAAUGCGUAGAUAUCAAGAGGAACACCUGAGGUGAAGACGGGUUGCUGGGCUGACACUGACGCUGAGGCGCGAAAGCCAGGGGAGCAAA